rnacentral:rRNA from 1 species
GGCCACUGCUAUCGGGCUCCGACUAAGCCAUGCGAGUCAAGGGGCUCCUUCGGGAGCACCGGCGGACGGCUCAGUAACACGUGGGCAACCUACCCUCGGGUGGGGGAUAACCUCGGGAAACUGAGGCUAAUACCCCAUAGGCCUCGGAUACUGGAAGGUUCCGAGGCUGAAAGCUCCGGCGCCCGAGGAUGGGCCUGCGGCCUAUCAGGUAGUUGGUGGUGUAAAGGACCACCAAGCCUGCGACGGGUACGGGCCCUGAGAGGGGGAGCCCGGAGAUGGACUCUGAGACACGAGUCCAGGCCCUACGGGGCGCAGCAGGCGCGAAACCUUCGCAAUGCGCGAAAGCGCGACGAGGGGAGCCCGAGUGCCCUUCCUUUUGGGAGGGCUUUUCCGGAGUCUAAAAAGCUCCGGGAAUAAGGGCUGGGCAAGACGGGUGCCAGCCGCCGCGGUAAUACCCGCAGCUCGAGUGGUGGCCACUAUUAUUGAGCCUAAAGCGUCCGUAGCCGGACCCGUAAAUCCCUGGGUAAAUCCUGGCGCUCAACGUCAGGAAUUCCGGGGAGACUGCGGGUCUUGGGACCGGGAGAGGCCGGAGGUACUCCCGGGGUAGGGGUAAAAUCCUGUAAUCCCGGGGGGACCACCUGUGGCGAAAGCGUCCGGCUUGAACGGCUCCGACGGUGAGGGACGAAGGCCAGGGGAGCAAACCGGAUUAGAUACCCGGGUAGUCCUGGCUGUAAACGCUGCCCGCUUGGUGUUGUCGGUCUCUCGGGGGCCGGCAGUGCCGGAGCGAAGGUGUUAGGCGGGCCGCUUGGGGAGUACGGCCGCAAGGCUGAAACUUAAAGGAAUUGGCGGGAGAGCACUGCAACGGGAGGAGCGUGCGGUUU